rnacentral:rRNA from 1 species
UACGUAGGGUGCGAGCGUUAAUCGGAAUUACUGGGCGUAAAGCGUGCGCAGGCGGUUCGUUAAGUUCGAUGUGAAAGCCCCCGGCUCAACCGGGGAACAGCAUUUGAUACUGGCAGACUCGAGGAUGGUAGGGGUGAGUGGAACUCCAGGUGGAGCGGUGAAAUGCGUAGAUAUCUGGAGGAACACCGGUGGCGAAAGCGGCUCACUGGACCAUAACUGACGCUGAGGUGCGAAAGCUAGGGUAGCAAACGGG